CCUACGGGAGGCAGCAGUGAGGAAUAUUGGUCAAUGGACGAGAGUCUGAACCAGCCAAAUAGCGUGAAGGAUGACUGCCCUAUGGGUUGUAAACUUCUUUUAUAUGGGAAUAAAAUGUUCCACGUGUGGGAUUUUGUAUGUACCAUAUGAAUAAGGAUCGGCUAACUCCGUGCCAGCAGCCGCGGUAAUACGGAGGAUCCGAGCGUUAUCCGGAUUUAUUGGGUUUAAAGGGAGCGUAGGUGGAUUGAUAAGUCAGUUGUGAAAGUUUGCGGCUCAACCGUAAAAUUGCAGUUGAAACUGGCAGUCUUGAGUACAGUAGAGGUGGGCGGAAUUCGUGGUGUAGCGGUGAAAUGCUUAGAUAUCACGAAGAACUCCGAUUGCGAAGGCAGUUCACUGGACUGCAACUGACACUGAGGCUCGAAAGUGUGGGUAUCAAACAGGAUUAGAUACCCGAGUAGUC
rnacentral:rRNA from 1 species